UAUGGUCCCGGGCAACCGGUGGCUCGCAAGUCGCCUGUGCAUCACACCCGAAGAGCGAUGGGGCAAUGCCAUGUCGUCGACGAGGCCUAUGGCCAGCCUUCGUCGUCCUUUGUUGGGCUGACGGAGGGUGGCACCCGAACUGGAACGGAAUCCGAUCGCCUAGCGCGCCAGCCUCCCUUGUUGACGGCUGCAUGUCCCUACGGCGCAUCGGCCGGUCCAGAGGGCUUAUGGAUGCGGUGGAUGCUAAUAGGCCUCGGGGGCAUUCGUGCCCUCGGCCUCGACCCGAACGGUUUUAUUAUCGGCCGCUCUCGAUGACACGACGUUCGGCCCUCCGAGGGCUCGUGCUUCCACGUGGAGCGCUUGUCCCGGGGGCGUCCGGCGUCGCGGAGGACGUGCUAC
rnacentral:misc_RNA from 1 species